CCUCCCACGCCGCUCCUUCUCUUUCCCCCAUCCCCGCCAGUCCGCCACCACGCGCCAAUCCCGAGGUCGCCCGUCGAUCCGGCGCGCACUUCCACCCUCGUCUCUCUCCCUGGUCCAGCAACGUCACCUAGCCCCUUAGCUUUUCCUCCCGAUGCCAAAAUGUCCUUUUGACUCCCGUCUCCGUCUUGUUGGCCCGUAGAUCUGGCAGCCCUCGGCCACGACGCUACGAGCUUUGGCCGGCUUGACCUCGUCGCCCCCAUCCAAUAGGUGCUCGACGCUGCUCCUCGGGACCGCGGCGGUCUUCUUCAUGGGCUCUUUCUCCCUUCACCUCCUACGCCAUGUAUCGGCCCCUUCCUGAAGCUCCUCCUCAUCCGUGUGCCCCCCUGAUGUCGCCGAGUGGACCACGCCCACUCCCGCCUCCGCCCGCCUGUACUAGGAUUUGCUCCUGUUGUUCAAGUUGAAUAGCGGGGAGAUGGAGGAGAUGGUGCCAUGAAGGGCUAGUGUGGUGGUGAGGUUCAGGUUCUAUAACGAGGCCAUGGUUGUUUGCAUGUCUGUUUAGUUUUUUUUUCUUUUGUAUGGUUGUUGAAAAACAAAGCCGCGCCUAUUAGUUUGGAAAAUAAAGUCAAGCCUACGUGUUGAAAAAUAGUUUGAUUAACUAGCAAGUGGCCAUUUGCGCCGGUGAGUUGAGCUGGCUAGCUUGUGUUGAUGCAUGCAUGUUUGGUCAAGGCUAGCUAGUUGCAGUAGUUGGGAAUCCUAUAUACCUAAGAAGUUCAUCCCCACUACUAUAUUUAUCUUGCCAUGCAGCCUAGCCACCUCAUCACCCAUGCCACAUCAUUAAUUAUUGGAAAACAUUUAAUUUAGAUAGUACGUACAUUCCUAGUUCUUUUUCCUUCAGUUUUGGUUCGUAGAUGUAAUUGUAAGUUUUGUAAUCUCGCUUUUGCUUUUCUUCUCAGUAUUUUGUAGUUUUGUAACAUUUAACUUGUAUGCCUAAGGCUGAAGCAGCCACUGACACGUUAACAUCAUGUCCCGUCUGUUCUUUCUCAAAGAUGUAGAGCAGGGGUUCUUACAGUUUGAUAAAUACAGGCCACAUCAGAUUCUGAAGGCGGCUUUGAAAGGGGGUGAGAUGAUGCUCGUCAAGACUAACUGAAAAGGUUAGUACAUCAUGUCUUACCCAUUUAGUUAUGCGCCAAUUUAGUUCUGGACAACAUGAGCAUGCUGCGGAUAACAUGCUUUGAGACAUGCUCUUUUUAUUUGAGCCUGAUUUCUUAGCUUACCUCAUUGCCUACGUGGUACUGUUGUACUAUAUAUGAUGUAUGCACCUGAUUAUGCCCUAUUUUCCCAGAUGUGGCUCAUAACUGAGAUAUCUAUCUAUUAAAUCCAUCUUAAUUAAGGUGCGAUGGCACAAUUUGGUUGAACUCAUAUAGGAAAAGAUGUUGCUAUAAUCAAUUACAGUAAAAUCAUUUGCAUAGAGAAAAAUAUUUCAACAUUAGACAAUAUGAUCUGGCAUGUUUGACCCUUGUCAGGCGUCCUCCUUUCUAGCUUUUGUUUUUCCCUGUACUAGCUUUGCCUCUUUUGGUCUUCAGCUUUCCAGACCUUGAUGCUUUUGAGAAUGUCCAGCAAACUUGGUUUCAUUUUAGUAAUGGAACCAGGGAGGCGCCUCUCUGUUUAUCUAAAAAAGUGGACAGUAUUGAAUUUUUUUGGAAGUGCAUACAGAAAUAAUGGUAGCUUAACAUGAAGAAUGAUUGUGACCUGUCAUACGAAACAUAAGAAGUUUCUUAAUUUGGUAUGCACAAUAUAACCUAAACUAUUGUUGGUGGAAAUUAGUGUUCUACUGCUAUUUAAUUUGUUUGAAUGAAAAACUAUAUUUAUAUCUUUCUUUACAUGACAUUCUUAAUCUGUUUUUUGUGUUUAUUGUAUGCCCAAACUAGCCAAUAGUGUUAUGCUAGUGUACUGCUUCUGUUGUGUCAUCAGACUGCAAAAUGUAAGCGCUAGUAUAUAUACUUCAGUGGGGUUGCAGAUGUCUGUUGUACAUUUGUACUUGGUUAUCAUUUUACAACUUCAACAAGCCAAUGAAUCGAUUAUCGACACGACAUAUGUGUCUUUCAGAUAAGUUUUUUUACCUGUAUCACAUGGCCAUCUUGGUGUAACCAUAGUACAUGCGGGUUCUGGACAUAGGAUUGUUACAGUUAAUUAAAAAAUGUCAUGUGGUUCGAAUUAUAUUAAUGUUACAAGUAAUUUGAAAAGCAUGAUGUGUUCUGAACUAUUGCAAACUUAUAAUGAAAUUGACAUUAGUGCAGUUUAUUGGUAUAUUCCUUUUGUACACAGAGCAAUGUGUAGUACCCAGUCUAUUAUUUGGAGUUGCGUUCCUGCUGAUUCAUGUAACCCUGAAAAUUGCAUGUGAAGGACCAAAAGGAAUGGGAGACGGUGCUGAAGAAUCGUGAUCUAUGGCAAGGGUGAUGAUGUCUAUGGCGAUGAUUGUUAUGAUCUAUUUGGCGAUGAGCAUUAUGAUGCAUAUGGUGAUGAAGGGUGACGAGUCUAGUGAUCUUUCUUCAAGAUGUUCAACAAAGUGAAAUCAUGGGGUUUUGGUCAAUCUAGCUUAUGCAUAAUGCUUGGACCAUUAUAUCUUAGUUAAUUUUUUUUGCAUUUUAAACUUCCUAGACUGUUCAUCAUGAUCAAUGUAAUUCUGAUGCAACUCUUCUGAUAUUUUGAAAGUUGUGCUAUAUACAAUAUAUGUUACUUGGUCAUGUGUGGG